CUUCGCCCUCUUCUGCUCAGGAGGACAAACUUUAGUUGAUUUAGGCUCUCUCUUCAGGGAAACGGAAUUCCUCCGUUUCUAGCGUGGACCCGCUCCUCAUCAGUAUCCCUCUCAGACUUCACAAACUUUGCUCCAUCAGAAGAUGCUCCGAGCAGUGCUCAAUGAACACUUGUUGAAUGGAGAGUAGCUGCCUUCCGAGUGAGCUCCCCAGAACUUAUCCUUAUAAUAAGAGGAAAUUAUGACACAGGCAGGUACAGAGGGAAGUCUAUGUGAGGACACAAGGAGAAGACAGCCAUAGACAAGCCAAGGAGAACAGCCUCAGAAGAAACCAACUCUGCUGACACCUUGAUCUCAGACCUUUUCAGUGGCUGCAGAACUUUGAGAAAAUGAUUUUCUAUUGUUUAAGUCACCCAGUCUGUGGUAUCUUGUUAAGGCAGCCCUAGCAAAUCAAUACAGAGGCAAUAAGAUUUAUCUCAGGGGGGGUGUUGUGAAGAUGCAAAGAGUAAUGUAUGUAAAGCAUGUGUCAAAUAAUAGGUGCUCCAAAAAAUGUGAGCUAUCUUCCUUUUUUUCCCUUGAUUUUCCAUAUUUUCUCUCCUUAACCCCUUCCCUUUUAUGCAAUCCCAUUGUUUUCUUUUUUUCUUUUUUUUUUUAAUGGGGAAGAGUUCAUGUUAAGCGUAUCUAAGAAAUAUUUUUGUUUUCAGAGAUACGAGUCUUUUCCCUAAGAACAAGAUGAGGAAUAGAAGAUAAAAACCUGUUGUGUUUAAAAACAUUGAAAAGAAAAUAGAGGAUCUUGAACAUAACCAACAUUCUGAAGUCUUUCGCUUUGUUAUCUAAUGUCUUUCUAAUGACUUUCCCCCACAGGUCUUGUUGAUUUCUGAAUGUAGAAUGUUUUUUCCCUGACCUUGAGUUUCGCUACAGGGAGCAUCACCCACUGAAAAUGACUACUUAAGAUAUCUCACACUUGCUGUAAGAGGGAGUUUACCCACAGUAAAAUGUGUUACAAUCUGGUCCUAAGCCAUUUUUUUUGUUAGAAGUAUUUCUGUGUCAUGGACUAUAUGUUGACUCAGAAGUGAAAAUCCAAGAAUUACCAGAAAAAUCUGUAAGUAUGAUGUCUUGAGGUAUGUGUUGAUUUAACUAGAGGUGCUUAGGAAAAAACACUGAGAAAGAAAAGCAUCUGGUGAAAAGCCAUCCAAAACUCAAAUUGUUUCUAGAAAAAUUCUUUAUGAUUUUCAUUAAUGAGACAGGUCAAAAUUUAAAAGUUUAAUAACACCCAGUGUUGGUGACGGUGAGUGAAAAAAAGCAUUUCAUAUACUGACAAUGGAGUUGUAAAUUGUUCCAGCAAUUUAAACAGUAACCAUUAUAUUCGUAAAAGCUGCAAAUAUACAUGCUUUAAACCUUAGUUUCAUUGAAGAACCUUUCUAUGGACUUAUUCACAUACAAAAAUCAUUGCAGCACUACUUUUAAUAGUUUAAAAAAGAAGGUAAACAAUAUAAAGGUCCAAAAGCAAGGAACUAGUUAAAUUGUGGUACAAUCACACAACAGAUUACAAAAUAAUAACCAUUAAGAUAGGUAUGUAUAGGCUGUCAGGGAAAGAUCUCCAGGUGAAAUAGGUGAAAAAAAUUAAUAUAACAGUAUUAAUAGUUUAUUCCCCUUUGCGUACAUGGAAAAGGCACAUAUGUGGUAUAUGUGUGAGAAAUUUAUUUCCUUGAAAGACUAAAAAUGUGUUAAUAGUCAUUAUUUCUAGUGAAUAAUACUGGGACUAACAAGAAAGACAUCUUUUGCUUUUAAUUCUGUGUACUCCAUAUGUUUAUAAACCAUGUACCUGUAUUACUUUAAUGUAAAAAUAAUAUGCCUUAUUUAUGAUGAAAGUUUCUUAGACUGAUAUGAGAUCCCUCAACAUCUCUUUGAGUCACACAGAUCACUACUUGGAGAUGAAAACAGGUAAAGAUGUUGAAAUCAACAUUUCAGAUAUCUAGUCUAAUAAAUUCAUAAUUGAGUUCAGAGAUUUGGCUGGCUUUUUUAUAUCAAAAUGUGAAUAAAAUAUGAUCAAGGAAGAGAAGUUUAUUGGUUAUCUAUGGCUGCUUAACAACUUACCCCAAAACUUAGCAUCUUAAAACACAUCCACUGACUUCUGUAGGUCCACCAUCUCAGGGUCUCUUACAAGAUUGCAAAACAGAAAGGUUUUGGCUGGGUCACAAUCAUCUCGAGGCUGGACCCUUGAGAGGGGAAGUUCCUCUGUAACUCACUCCUGCGGUUGUUGACAACAUUCAGUUACCUAUAGGUGUUUGGAGUGAGGCCCCAGGUCCUUGCUGGCAAAUAAACACAUGAAAAUAUAUUUAGCAUCAUUAGCCAUCAAGAAAAGCAAAUUAAAAUUACAAUGAGAUACCACUACUCUCCUAUCAGAAUGGCUAAAAUACAUUUAAAAAGUGACACCACCAGAGGAUGGUGAGAAUUUGGAGAUACUGGAUGACCAUACAGUGUUUGUGGGAUGUAAGAUGGUACAGCUACUUUGGAAAACAGUUUGACAAUUUCUUAUAAAAUCAAACAUGUAACCACCAUACAGCCUAGCAUGUGAAUCUACAAUUACCUCAAAUAAAAAGCUUAAUUAAAAAAUGUAACAGAGCUCUAGCCAUCUGUGGAACAAUAUCAAAUGGUUAACAUAAAUACAAUUAGACUCCUUAAAAGAGAAGAGUGAGAAUGGGUCAGAAAAAAAAAAAUUUGUAGGAAUGUGAGUAAAGUUGUAAUAUUUCCAGAGUAUCUUGCCUGGUUUCAGGGGUACAGAGAAGUAUGGCUCUAGUGCAUCUGCAUAUCAAUAGGCAUUCCUCAGGGGUGGAUAAAAUUUCAUCUCCAUAUCAAUGGGUAAUUACUUGGGCAACAGAGAGCUUAUCUGAACCUGUGAGGUGAGGUGGAGGGCUGGUUUUGCUUCUGCUGGAGCAGGAGAGAGAAAUGGCCCCAGACUGCAGUUUGUAAUAAAUAAAUGGGUUUUAAACUUUAUUUCUCCUUUUGACUGAUUUCAGUUUUAGAGGUAUUUUGCCCCGGGAUUUCCUUUUCCUGGACUUAUAAUAAAUAAUAGACAAUUUGAUGAAAACGUUGACUCAAAGAUCUAAAAAGUGACCAGACCUAAACAUCUAGGUACAUUAUAGUCAAACUGCUAAAAUUAUUAGCAGAAAAUUCAAAAUAUCUUUAAGACCUCAGAUGGGGAAACAUUUCUUAGACAAGGCACUAGAAGUAUAACUUAUAAUUGAGUGGGUACCCACUCAGACCCCCACAGUUGGUAUAAAGAUUAUUUUGAAGUGAAAACAUUUGGGCUACAGAAGAUGCAGAAAGAAAUCUUACCUGAACUUAACUUUAUUUGACUACAGCAAAGCCUUGGAAAGUACAGCUCCCUUUAAACCCCCUAGAGGUAAUUUCCUGCAAAUUCAGCUGGCAUGAAGACAAAUGGCCCAUGAUUAGCAUCAAAAAGCCCAAUAGAACUUUCCAUAGUUUCCCACUGAAACCCACAACCAACCCUGUCCAUUUGCUGAAUUAGUACCUAAACCUUAACCUUAAUUAUUAUUGAGCAACUCCCUGGUGUGCAUGUAAACAAACAUGUUUUCUCUUGUUAAUCUAUUAUCAGUUAAUUCACUGGUCCCCAAUCUUGCCAGACCCAAGUUGGAUGGUAAAAAUAAGACUCUAUUAAAGUGUAGUACUUUUGUAUGAAAAAAGGAUACAUAAAAAAAGUUUGAAGACAAGCAGAAUGCAAGAAGAAAUUUGCAAUAUCCAACCUGGAUAAAUGACAAGAGUAAAAAAUUACUCAUAUCAGUAAGACAAACUGCUUUUUCUUUUUACA